UGUGAAAUCCCGCUUCAUUAAACAUAAGAAUAUACAUUGACAAAAUUAAACACUCCGCCUCACUGCUUUAGGGCAAAUCCCCGCUUCACCGGCGUCGUCGGCACUCAAUCCAAGCGGCUAUAGUCGUCGUCGUCGGCAAUAAGCGGCCAUCGUCGGCACUCAGACUCCUCUCCAUCUCCGUUAAGGUUUCUUCCAUCGUCGGCCAUUGAGGUCGUUUUUAGGGGUGGUUUGAGUUCACAAAUUCUCAUAGUAAUGCGAAGGGGAAGGGAGGUUUAGGAUAAGAGGAAAGGAAAGAGAAGGGUCUGGUGAAGAUGAAUCUUAGACCUUGAAGGGCUUUAUUUUUAUUUCAUUCUCAAGUUUGUUCUUUUGGUUGUUCAAUCCUAUUGUUAUUUGAGACCAACAUUCAUGGUUUUGCUCUUUCCGUUAUAUGCUCUCCAGUUUUAGCUCUUUUUGGUUUUGAAUGGCAUUAGUUCAACACCUAUUAACUACUAGCUGCUGCUCCAUCAUGGACUAGAACUCCUUUUUGUCUCUGUGCAUUUUGAACCGUGUUCCAGUCGUCGGCGAUCCAAGCGGCCAUCGUCGGCAUUGAGACUCCUCUCCAUCUCCGUCAUGGAGAGGAUCUGCAGAGGUAUUGGACCAUCAAGAAAUUCAAGAAGCAGAGUGAACUGGGAAAGAAGGCCCGAGCAUCUGAGAAGGGUGGCUCCUUGCAUUGUUUGGGUUCAAGGAGCAUCGGGGAUACGAGGAGACACCUGGAAAAAAAAUAUGGGAGGAAGAUAGUCAUGAUGAAUUCUUCAUGGAGACUCACAUCCGAAAGAAGAAGGCAUCGACAGAUCCAACUAGAUGGGUCGAGGACCAGGCAGAGACUACACAUAGGAUCGCUACAAGAUUAAUGUGGAGGAAUACACUCAGAUCUUGCCAUCGAAUGAGCAAGGCGAGCGACCGUCCAUUUCAGACGAAGAAGCACAGAGGAUAUGGUUGGGUGUUGUCGAUUGUCCUAAAAAGGGGAGAGCAUAUGGCCUUCCAGAUAAAUCAUUUCGGCGCUACAGGGCUGGAUUGCAAGGUAUAGGGACUUCCGUCCAAGGCGAGGCGAUUGAUAGGUCGACUAUAUCGUCUAUGGAACAGAAGAUCGCAAAGCUGACAGCAGAGCUUGAAGAGACAAAGGCUAGAGAUAAAAAGAGAGACGAACAAUUUGGUACCCUUUAAGUUCAGCUAGAAAGGAGGGACGAACAAUUUAAUCUCCUUCAAGUUUAGCUAGAAAGGAGGGACGAACAAUUUAAUCUCCUUCAAGGUCAGCUGGCCAAUCUUCUUGCUAGUGGUGCUUUCCUCAUUCCCCGGUAUCGUGAGCCUUCCCCAUGUGCCGACGAUGAAGGUUCUAGGAGAGAAGAUGGAGAUGAUGCUAGAUAAAACACUCAUUGAUUGGUGUGUAUUGCUAAACAAAGUAUUGAACUUGUCAAUAUUUUAAUGAGACUAAUUUUAAAUGAUGAUUUUAUUGUUAUUUUGUUAUUGAACAUUUUAGUAGUUGUUGUGGUUGUUAUUAGUUGUUGUUAGAUAAUGGU